rnacentral:rRNA from 1 species
AACGAACGCUGGCGGCAUGCCUAACACAUGCAAGUCGAACGAGACCUUCGGGUCUAGUGGCGCACGGGUGCGUAACGCGUGGGAACCUGCCCUUAGGUUCGGAAUAACUCCCCGAAAGGGGUGCUAAUACCGGCUAAUGUCUUCGGACCAAAGAUUUAUCGCCUUUGGAUGGGCCCGCGUUGGCUUAGCUAGUUGGUAGGGUAAAAGCCUACCAAGGCGACGAUCCAUAGCUGGUCUGAGAGGAUGAUCAGCCACACUGGGACUGAGACACGGCCCAGACUCCUACGGGAGGCAGCAGUGGGGAAUAUUGGACAAUGGGCGAAAGCCUGAUCCAGCAAUGCCGCGUGAGUGAUGAAGGCCUUAGGGUUGUAAAGCUCUUUUACCCGGGAUGAUAAUGACAGUACCGGGAGAAUAAGCUCCGGCUAACUCCGUG